UUUAGUAUUAGUUAUUUUCUUGAAAAUUAAAGAUUUUGGCGGUAUUUUAGUCUAUUCAGAGGAACCUGUUCUGUAAUUGAUAGUCCACGAUUUACUUUACUUAAUUAAUUUGUAUAUCGUCGUUAUUUUGAAUAUUUUAUAAGAAUUUUAAUAUUCAAUUUUUUUGAUAAAAAUUUAAGUCAGAUCAAGGUGCAGUUUAUGUUUAAGAAGAAAUGGGUUACAAUAAAUAAAUUUAGAUGGUUUAGUUAAUGCAAUUUAAUUAAUAAAGUGGGAAAGUAAUAUUUUUAAUUUAAUAAUAUGAUUUUAGCUCUAAAAUAUG
rnacentral:rRNA from 1 species